CUCCUUUUUUUUUCGUUUCUUUUCCUUCUUUCUUCAUUCUAUCUUUGAAGCAAAACCUUGCACAAACAAAAGUUAAGACAAUCGAAAAUUAAAUUAGGAAGUGGGAAAUACCUCAGAUUUCUCGAGAAUGGUUCUUGAGACGGUAGUGUCUCGUGCUGAUAACGUGUUAUGAAAUAAUAUAAAAGACAAGAACAAUAACUCAAGAACAAGAGCAAAUAGAGAGAAGAGUNN
rnacentral:lncRNA from 1 species